rnacentral:rRNA from 1 species
UACGUAGGGGGCAAGCGUUGUCCGGAAUCAUUGGGCGUAAAGAGCGCGUAGGCGGCCCUGUAAGUCCGCUGUGAAAGUCGGGGGCUCAACCCUCGAAUGCCGGUGGAUACUGUCGGGCUAGAGUGCGGAAGAGGCGAGUGGAAUUCCUGGUGUAGCGGUGAAAUGCGCAGAUAUCAGGAGGAACACCUAUUGCGAAGGCAGCUCGCUGGGACGUAACUGACGCUGAGACGCGAAAGCGUGGGGAGCAAACAGG